AAGUCGUAACAAGGUUUCCGUAGGUGAACCUGCGGAAGGAUCAUUAACACGUGAUUUCUCACGUAUUAACCAAACGCGAACUGUUGUUUUUAUUCCUAUUGUUGCUAGUUGAGUGGCGAGUGGGGGAAUGGUGUGAGGAGCUUCGGUUCCUCUAACCCGCUCGUCUGUUGGCCCUUCACUGAGGUCAAGCUUGGCUGCUUCAAUUUGUAUCGAAUUUCGACUGCAAGCCUGCACCUUGGGUUGUAGUUGGAGUGACUUAACCUUAUUUAUAACCCCUUUUUUUCUAUUUCUGACUGAUUUUGUACAAUCUUUCGAAUUCCUGGUGCUUCACUGCGCUGGUCGAGUUUGACUGACUGUCGAUUACACAAUACAAAACAACUCUUAGCAACGGAUAUCUUGGUUCUC
rnacentral:misc_RNA from 1 species